rnacentral:rRNA from 1 species
AGAGUUUGAUCAUGGCUCAGAGCGAACGCUGGCGGCAGGCCUAACACAUGCAAGUCGAACGAUCCUUCGGGAUAGUGGCGGACGGGUGAGUAACACGUGGGAACGUACCUUUAGGUUCGGAACAACUCAGGGAAACUUGAGCUAAUACCGAAUGUGCCCUUUUGGGGAAAGAUUUAUCGCCUUUAGAGCGGCCCGCGUUA